UUUCGAAUUCUGGUGGAGGCAAAUAGCAGAAAAUGAGACCACAAACUUUCGGAACUUUUGAAGCAUGUACCAGACAUUUGUCUUCAGAUGACCAGGAUUCUAUACAGACUGUUCUAACCAGGUUGGAGAUCAUGGCGACGAGCGUUCGCUGGAGCAGAGGGCGACUGCUUCAAUCUGAAGUGGUUGAUGAAAUGCUUUUGCUCAGCGAGUUAAUUCGGGAAGCCAACGAUCAGCAACAACAACGUGGUAAUGUACUCGUCAUAUUUAAACAUGAUCUGAAGAAGCAAGAUUCAAAACACGAUGCCUCUAACAUUUUUCUCUUGAACUGCAGUUGCUCCUGGUUUCACCUUACCUCGAAUGGGAGGACAGACUGGAGGAAGGCCGGUUUACCAAAUCGCCCAAGAGCAGUUGCAGAUGUUGUUGUCCUAACUUCUCUGCUAAACAGAUUGCGGAGAUCUUGGGUGUCUCAAGAAGAACAGUGAACCGACGGUUAAGACAGUACAUACAAUUUCUCUUUUAGAGGUCGCUACACAGACCAGAUGAUGCACUUGAUCUGAAGGUGCUGCUAUUCAGAGUAUGUCCCACAGGCUUAGGAGGAGAACAUAUCGAGUGGCAGGGUCAAAUUCGCUGUGGCAUCUUGAUGGCAAC